rnacentral:rRNA from 1 species
UACGAAGGGGGCUAGCGUUGUUAGGAAUUACUGGGAGUAAAGCGCGUGUAGGCGGAAGCGAAAGUCCGGUGUGAAAGCCCCCCGCUCAACGGGGGAAGGUCGCUGGAAACUGCGCUUCUUGAGGGCGGCAGAGGGAAGUGGAAUUGCUGGUGUAGCGGUGAAAUGCGUAGAGAUCAGCAGGAACACCCGUGGCGAAGGCGGCUUCCUGGGCCGCGCCUGACGCUGAGACGCGAAAGCGUGGGGAGCGAACGGG